rnacentral:lncRNA from 1 species
GGAGAAGCAUCUCUCCUUCCUCUCCCAGUCUAAUCGAUAUCUCAAAGUGUUUGGCAAGACGGGUAGCAUAGAUACCUCCAUAGACAACACCUUUAGAACGGUUCAGGUUCAACCAUUGAACUACUAUAGCGCCCAAGCUAUAAGUCUUAUCGUUAUAAAGGCCUUCGCGCAAAACCGCAAGGUCUCGAGAACUAAGUGAUCCAGCCUCCCCACGGCCAAUCAAACAUUUUACCACAAAUAGUGAGAAG